CAGUCGAGCGGUAGAGAGGUGCUUGCACCUCUUGAGAGCGGCGGACGGGCGAGUAAAGCCUAGGAAUCUGCCUGGUAGUGGGGGAUAACGCUCGGAAACGGACGCUAAUACCGCAUACGUCCUACGGGAGAAAGCAGGGGACCUUCGGGCCUUGCGCUAUCAGAUGAGCCUAGGUCGGAUUAGCUAGUUGGUGAGGUAAUGGCUCACCAAGGCGACGAUCCGUAACUGGUCUGAGAGGAUGAUCAGUCACACUGGAACUGAGACACGGUCCAGACUCCUACGGGAGGCAGCAGUGGGGAAUAUUGGACAAUGGGCGAAAGCCUGAUCCAGCCAUGCCGCGUGUGUGAAGAAGGUCUUCGGAUUGUAAAGCACUUUAAGUUGGGAGGAAGGGCAUUAACCUAAUACGUUAGUGUUUUGACGUUACCGACAGAAUAAGCACCGGCUAACUCUGUGCCAGCAGCCGCGGUAAUACAGAGGGUGCAAGCGUUAAUCGGAAUUACUGGGCGUAAAGCGCGCGUAGGUGGUUCGUUAAGUUGGAUGUGAAAUCCCCGGGCUCAACCUGGGAACUGCAUUCAAAACUGUCGAGCUAGAGUAUGGUAGAGGGUGGUGGAAUUUCCUGUGUAGCGGUGAAAUGCGUAG
rnacentral:rRNA from 1 species